AAGUCGUAACAAGGUUUCCGUAGGUGAACCUGCGGAAGGAUCAUUAACACGUAUCCAACGUUAAACCCCCCUGUGAACCUUCAGCGUGCUCUUUUGACCCGUUGACGCAGCAAUCCCUGGUAAAUCACGGUGAACAGCUUUGAUUCAGGGACCUCUGCACAAUGAGAAGUUACAGUCAAAAUUUUGAGCGCUAGAGUCAGUGGCUCGGUCUCCCCAAGCAACCAGUGUCUGAAAGUGUCGCUGGAAGUGUAAGGAGAACGCUUUACGAUCACUAGAGGCCGACACGGCCGGUGACCGAGUCACAGGGUCACCAUGCCCCUUACCUCACCCCGAGUAAACCGAUCCGGCUCGCGAUAAUCCGCUUGCUAAAAAAUACUUGAACAACUGUUAACAAUGGAUAUCUUGGUUCUC
rnacentral:misc_RNA from 1 species